rnacentral:rRNA from 1 species
AUUGAACGCUGGCGGCAUGCUUUACACAUGCAAGUCGAACGGCAGCGCGGGCUUCGGCCUGGCGGCGAGUGGCGAACGGGUGAGUAAUACAUCGGAACGUGCCCAGUAGUGGGGGAUAGCUCGGCGAAAGCCGGAUUAAUACCGCAUACGACCUGAGGGUGAAAGCGGGGGAUCUUCGGACCUCGCGCUAUUGGAGCGGCCGAUGGCAGAUUAGCUAGUUGGUGGGGUAAAGGCCUACCAAGGCGACGAUCUGUAGCUGGUCUGAGAGGACGACCAGCCACACUGGGACUGAGACACGGCCCAGACUCCUACGGGAGGCAGCAGUGGGGAAUGUUGGACAAUGGGCGAAAGCCUGAUCCAGCAAUGCCGCGUGUGUGAUGAAGGUCUUCGGGUUGUAAAGCACUUUUGGCGGGAACGAAAAGGACUGUGCCAAUACCACGGUUCGAUGACGGUACCCGCAGAAUAAGCACCGGCUAACUACGUG